rnacentral:lncRNA from 1 species
CGGAGCCGUUCGAGAGCGGACGUCCGCAACCCAGAAAAAGUGCGGACGUCGCUCCUCUGGCCUCGAUUGACUGUCGAUGGCGCGGCGCGGCUUGCAGAAUGGACGCUGGGAGUCUGCGGUCUGGUGGAGUCGCCGGCGACCGUGCUGCAGCGCUACACAGAACCUGCAAUUGCAGGUGAGGUGGCUGCCCAGAAACCGGCAACCCCGACCUCCUCCGACCUCGAUCGCUGCCCAGAAGAGGUCUGGGAAGCCUCCGGCCUCCCUCGGGCCAGCCCCGGGCCGCCGUCGCGGCUUGAAACCGCCUGCUGCAUCGACGUCCGCGCUUUAGCGAAAGUGCGGAUGUCCGCCUGCGAUCGGGCC